AGGGGCUGGAGAGAUGGCUCACCA
rnacentral:piRNA from 2 species